rnacentral:lncRNA from 1 species
UCACUCCCCAAAUGUGAAGCUUCUUCCGUUGAUUGUUCCACAAUUUCAUCAUUGAUUUCCUUCGAUGCCUUUUCUUGUAUUUUGUUUUUCAAAUGCUUAAAAUAUCAACCGACCUGAAUAUGAUUAUUUCCAAAUAUGACGCUUCCUCCUUCUUUGUGCUCUAGUUGAAGGGAUUUGGAUUCAUCUCCCGUUAUGUGUUUGGAGCAUUCACUAUCAAGGUACCAUAGUACGCUUGAUCCCUUCAAGCAUACCUACAAAGCAAAUUAAUUUUCUUUGGGUACCCAUGCCAUCUUGGGUCCUUGAGGGUUAGGCAUAUUGUAAUAAUAUGUUUGAGUAGCAUGUCUAUGACGUGUAAAACAUGCGGGAGCAAUAUGACCAAUGCGUCUACAGUAAUGACAUGUCACAUUCGGAUUAUGCAUUCGUCUAGGUUUAUAGUAGCUAGAUGAAUGAAGGUUGCUUACCUUAUUUUGAACGCUAUCAUUUCUCCUACUUUGAUCUCUAGGAUGGGUAGUGUUUCUAGAGUGAUGAUAAAUGAAGGUUGCUUACCUUAUUUUGAACGCUAUCAUUUCUCCUACUUCGAUCUCUAGGAUGAGUAGUGUUUCUAGAGAGAUGAUAUCUAGGUUGAGGACCAUUUUGGGGUCUUCUAGAAGGUUCACAGUUUUGCCUAAAAUAUGCAUCAUGUCUAUGGUGACUAUUUCUAGGCGGAGGGUCAUUUCUUGGUCUAGCAUGCAAAUUUGUUCUAGGAUAGCUAUUUC